UAUAACCGGCAUGCCCAUUUUUUAUUUUUGAGUUUUUCAAGUAUAAUUAAUUGGUAAUCAAUCUUUUUCAAUAAUAUUAAGUCUAAUUUGAUAUUUUUUUGAUCUUCUUUUAUGUUUCUAUGAUCUCGGUUUAACCUAAAUGAUGUAUCUUGUUGUUUUAAAGUGAUACAAAAUAUAAAAUGAUUAUUAAAGGGGGAAUGGGGGAUAAACCUAGAUCGAACUGCUGCAAACUGGGCUGUUCACAUUGGUUUCACUCUGAAUGGCUCGGUUCCGAGUGGUUUGCACCAAUUCGGAGCA
rnacentral:lncRNA from 1 species